UUAAUCAUGAUUAAUUUUUUAAUCACGAUUAACUUUUCAGUUGCUUGACAGCCCUAGUUGGAAUUUUGAUACUUUUCUACCAUGUUUUCAGAUUCCAAAAUGGGUUCUUUUAAGAAUUCCAACUCUUCAGACACUGCUGUGAACUGUUCACAGUGGUAGGAUCUUAAUGCUUUCUAGUGGCUAUCAUCAUAGCUGCAUAAUUAUUGGGAAUCUAGAAUUAGGUCUGAAGCUAGUAUCUACACUGCAUACAUAUGUUUUGAGAUGGGACAGUCAUUUAAGAUCUUCCAUUUUUCCCUUCUUCUCCCUACUUCUAUUUCACUCAAAACUUUGAGUUCUCUACACUGUCUAUUACAUUUUUACUUAUUGUGGAAAAAACACUUCAUAUUCUGCAAGAACCUUAAAAAGUUCACUAACUUAGAAACAGUAUGUUAAGGAAUUUUCUGUAGUUGAGAAAUUCUGAUCUAUGAAAUUUUGUAUCUUCUUCAAUGAAAUAAAAUUUGUGUAAUAGAGCUGUUCCAUAAGAAAUUUCACUAUUUCAACAUUUGUUUUCAUUCCAAAUUGAGAUGAAAUGUCAAAAAACUGAAAAUUGUUACCAAGCUGAAAAUUCCAAAACCUUUCAAUUCACAAAUAUUGAAACAUUUUGUUUUAACAUUUUUGAUCAAAAUAUUUUGACGUUCACAAAUCAAACAUUUCAUUUUGUUUGUCAAACUGAAUUUCAGCUGAACUGCUUAAGUUUCUGUGGUGUCUCAUGUUUCCUUUCUCCUCUGUCUGCUGAGAUAUCUGGCCAGACUAAAUCUCUGAUAAUGCAUCCAAGCAGUUAAACCAGACUGGAGACCAUAAUGCAUGAUGGGUGAUGUAGUCCAGCCAGAGAACCAGCCCAUAUUGGAGAAUAGUCACCCAAACUACAACCAAACUACAACUCCUCCAAGGUACCACAGUAGCUCGGGUGAGCACAGAUUAAUGUAGAGCUGACCUGAAAAGUAAUGUUUCUAUUCUUUUGGCAUACUAAAAUAUUUAGAUUAUAUUUGACCUAACCCCAGACAAAAUAUUUAAUUUCCAUGUUCCUGAUGGGCAAUUAACUUUUUGGCAAAAUCAAAAGUUACUGAUGGAAAAUAUUUCAUCAAGAAAAUCUUUCAGCAGAAAAUUCUCAAACAGCUCGAAGUGGCUGCUACUUCUCUGCUCUCCCCCAAAUAAAACCAUGGUUAGUUAUUGACCCCUUUAAUCCAUUUCUCUUCUAGUAACAAUGUUAAAAGGAAUUUAUUAACAGAUUAGCUUCUCUUAGACCUCAUUCUAUCCCUUCUAACAGUCUUCAUUCAUCACAAAAUUAAUGAAGGGUAAUUAUUAAUGAUUUUCUCCAGUCUUUGCAAUUAACACCACACCUCAAAUUGGUUCAGUGCAGGGAAAGUGAGACAUUUCUCAUUUUACAUCUCCCUAGUGAUGUAAACUGGCAGGAGAGAUAACAGCAUGCCUUAAACUUGUUAAUGCUAAAUACUCAAAUCUUUGGAUACAAAUUAGUCAGAGUUGCCAUGAAAACCACUAAAUCACUUGUCUUUAAAAUUCCAUUGUUUUGUGUCAUGGUUUUGCAUGAUUAAGUGUACUAUUAUCACAUGUAUACUUCAGGCAUGAAAUCAUUUUCAUAUUGCCAUGGGAUGAUACUUACAGCAGGAGCUCUAUUGAACUGCCAGCUUGCUUAUUAAUUAUUAUUAAUUAUUAUUAUUAUUAGCAGUAGAAAAUUGUAUAUUGUGAUAGCACCCAGUUGGGACUACUACUUCAAAUAACCAAGUCUGGAUUAGUGAGCCAGGGGGUAGCUUCAGAAGUGUCUUGGUGUAAGUCUGAGAUGCGACUAGCAAAUGAUCAAACUGGGCACUCAUUUACACGGUGGUUCAUAGUUUAUGGCUGGUAUCCACUAUCACAUUGUGUGUUGUCUCUCAUUUUCAAGAAGUGUGAGAGAUGACAGCAUCUGCCAUGGUGUGGACAACUGUUCAAGGUGCUAAAGAAGCAUGCAAUCAUAUCAGCUCUUACACCAAGAAGGCAGGACGAUGGACACACCAAGGUAAUAUCUUCUUGAAUUUAAUGUAAAUGGGGAAAUACAGGCUCCAUUGCUUAAAUGCCAUGAGAACAAGAGCCCAGGAUUCGCUGCAGACUAUUAUAUAAGUCCCAAAUUCCGGAUUCACAUCCCAAAGCAGGAAGGAGUGCUAUAAUUUCUCACGACCAUGUAUAUUGGUUAUGCAUAAGGUCUGCUCAUCCUGUUGUUAGUUGGCCCUGAACCACAAGCGGGGGAAACAGAAGAUUCACACCUUCUCCUUAGCCUGGUGUUACGGUGCUGCUCAAAGAAUAUCAGGGCCGAGCCAAGGAUGGCCUGUUUGUACUGGUCAGCUGUUAAAGUGCAGUCAGGAAAUGAGCAGUGGGGUCAGGAAUGGGCCAGGUCAGAAUGCCAGGAAGUCAGGGUCAGGCACCAAGUUGCAGGUUGCAGGCAAAUAGCAGAGAUGGGGCUGAGCUGGGUUAGGAUAUCAGGAAGUCAGGGUCAGCCACCAGGUUAUAGACCACAAUCAGAUAGCAAAAUCAAGGACAAACGAGCAUCACAAGCUGGAGUCUAGGAUCGACAGCAAGCAGGGACUCGAGUAGAAACAAGCAGGCAAUCAGCAUUGUUGCUCAGAAAGCUCCUGAUGCUGGCUUCCUGGUUUAAAUACUAGCAACAGCCAAUCAGUAGACUGUGAGGGGCUGCCAUUCAGGCCCUGGGCAUUACUUCCUGCUAAGCCUAGUUUCACAGGGUCAUCCAGCAGAAACCUAAGCUAAGCUUCUAGUGGUGAUUCAGAAGUGUCAGUGGCCCAGAACCCACUUAGUUCCAGGUUCUAGUUCUGUAAGUUAUUACAUCAAGGCAGAGAACACAGGGCAACAAGUAGGUCUCUGUGGGUCUUCUUCCCCUACCAGCUCAUGGAGAUUAUUGUAAUUCCUACUGCAAAACAUUCUCCUCUGGCAUUAUCUCUGUUGCAAUGCAUUUCUAAGCUUUUACACCAAUAUUUAUACUGAUAAGAGAGCAUUAGUAGUAUUAAAUCAUGUACCUCAGCAGAAAUGCUUGAACUUUCUUCUUGGUUUCCUUUUUCUUCCACAUUGGUUCCGCUGCUGCUGGAGGUGCAUUUAAAUCUGGAAACUUGCUGCUACUGUCAAAGAUUUCUGACUUAAACAUGGACGGAGCUAUGAGAGGGCGAUCCCAGAUAAACAACACAACAGCAGCUCCUUGGGGUUUUCCUUCAACAGUAUAAAAAAGGGUUAAGUGUCUAACUACAGAAGUUGCUGCUAUCACAGUGUGAGGAAUACACAACUGACCAAGCAUCUUCAUAUUAAAUUAACUUGUGGCAUUUAUUGAUCCCACUGAAUGACAAUGAAUUUAGUCACAUAACUUGCUCUGGAGUUCAAUCCAUAGUAUGCACAAGUUAGUGGCAUGAAGACUGAAGCCGUUUUCAGCCAGAAUAACCAAGGAAGGAUCCAUGUGAAAUGACUGACCCAGUGAAUACUUCUUUAGCCACAGAAGUGGGAUUUGACUGAUUUCCUGUCUUAUGAAAGCCUGCUAUAGAACUGAAACUAUCUAACCAUCUCUAUAUUUUAGAAGUUUUUGAUGUGCAAGGAUCGUAGUUAGUUUGUCAAUGACAUCUUGCUUUUGUCGGGAAACUGUGGUGUUGCAAAGAUAUUAAGAUUCUGUGCUAGCAUUUUGGCUGAUCAGUCUGUGGUAUUAUAAAAAGUGUUGUCAAAGUAAUUAAAACAGUGAUUUAUUAUUACGUAUUCUUCAUA